UACGGAGAGUGCAAACGUUGUUCGGAUUCACUGGGCGUAAAGGGCACGUAGGCGGCUCGGCAAAUCGGUCGUGGAAUCUCGACGCUUACCGUCGAAACGGCGGCCGAAAAUACCGGGCUCGAGGGCGUGAGGGGUCACUGGAACUCCUGGUGAAGCGGUGAAAUGCGUAGAUAUCAGGAGGAACGCCGGAGGCGAAAGCGAGUGACUGGCGCGUUCCUGACGCUGAGGUGCGAAAGCUAGGGGAGCAAACGGG
rnacentral:rRNA from 1 species